rnacentral:piRNA from 1 species
UACUCUAGAUCCAUCUACUUGCCUAAGAA